rnacentral:rRNA from 1 species
CAGCCGCCGCGGUAAUACGUAGGGUGCAAGCGUUAAUCGGAAUUACUGGGCGUAAAGCGUGCGCAGGCGGUUAUGCAAGACAGAUGUGAAAUCCCCGGGCUUAACCUGGGAACUGCAUUUGUGACUGCAUAGCUAGAGUGCGGCAGAGGGGGAUGGAAUUCCGCGUGUAGCAGUGAAAUGCGUAGAUAUGCGGAGGAACACCGAUGGCGAAGGCAAUCCCCUGGGCCUGCACUGACGCUCAUGCACGAAAGCGUGGGGAGCAAACAGGAUUAGAUACCCCGUAGUCCCUGUCUCUUAUACA